rnacentral:lncRNA from 1 species
GGCGGAGGGGGGAGGAUUGGAGCCCAUGUCUUUAAUAGGAAACUUGGUUUCUAAUACAAGAGCAAGACUUUAUUUAGGCAAAAUGCAUUUCUCAUACAGUUAUACCUCAUCUUUAUAAUAGGAUCACCACUAUCUUGUUGAAAGUUUAUGGUUGCUCUGAUACCACUGUUAAUUUUUUUUUUUUUUUAAAAAUACAAACUAAAGAAUUCGAGGAGAGAUAGACACACAACUAAACUUUACUCAAAUAUUCUUUUUCACACAGUACAUUUUUCCACACACAACCACACACACAUUUCAAUUCAAGGAGCACAAAUAUAUAGCUUUUUCACACAAUACAUUUUUCCACACACAACCACACACACAUUUCAAUUCAAGG